AUAAUGAUACUUCCGUCCCCGGAUUGCCGGGGCGGCUCGGAGCGUUCCUCGGAGGGGUGAGAGUCCCAUGA
ncrna:unclassified sequences pemK RNA